GUGCUCGCUUGGGCAGCACAUAUACUAAAAUUGGAACAAUGCAGAGAUUAGCAUGGCCCCAUGUGCAAAGAUGACAUGCAAAUUGAUGAAGCGUUCCAUAUUAAA